rnacentral:lncRNA from 1 species
AGAUGAGGAUGAUGAGUAAGGUGAGGUGGUUUCAUUAAGCAUUUCUUCUUCAGAAACAGGUGGUGUGGUGGUAGCAAGGUUGAAUUUUUGAGAGGGUGGGUUAGAUGUUCAGGUGGUUGAGGUGGGUGUUUUAGAUGAAGUGUAGGUAUGAGUGGUUUGGGGAAGAGAAGAAGCAAUAGGUUUAAGUUUUACAGAACGGGAGAGAGGUAUAGACUUACUUAGAGGGUCAGCCAGAG